GGUGAACGCUGGCGGCGUGCCUAAUACAUGCAAGUCGAGCGAACUGAUUAGAAGCUUGCUUCUAUGACGUUAGCGGCGGACGGGUGAGUAACACGUGGGCAACCUGCCUGUAAGACUGGGAUAACUUCGGGAAACCGAAGCUAAUACCGGAUAGGAUCUUCUCCUUCAUGGGAGAUGAUUGAAAGAUGGUUUCGGCUAUCACUUACAGAUGGGCCCGCGGUGCAUUAGCUAGUUGGUGAGGUAACGGCUCACCAAGGCAACGAUGCAUAGCCGACCUUAGAGGGUGAUCGGCCACACUGGGACUGGGACACGGCCCAGACUCCUACGGGAGGCAGCAGUAGGGAAUCUUCCGCAAUUGACGAAAGUCUGACGGAGCAACGCCGCGUGAGUGAUGAAGGCUUUCGGGUCGUAAAACUCUGUUGUUAGGGAAGAACAAGUACGAGAGUAACUGCUCGUACCUUGACGGUACUUAACCAGAAAGCCACGGCUAACUACGUGCCAGCCGCCGCAGUAAGAC
rnacentral:rRNA from 1 species